CCCUUAGAUGUUCUGGGCCGCACGCGCGCUACACUGAAUGGAUCAACGUGUUUUCCCUUCCCGAGAGGGACGGGUAACCCGCUGAACCCCAUUCGUGGUAGGGAUCGGAGCUUGCAAUUGUUCUCCGUGAACCAGGAAUUCCCAGUAAGCGCAAGUCAUAAGCUUGCGUUGAUUACGUCCCUGCCCUUUGUACACACCGCCCGUCGCUACUACCGAUUGAACGUUUUAGUGAGGUAUUUGGACUGGACCUUCGGAGGUUCGCCACCGGCUAUUGCUGAGAAGUCCUCCAAACCGCCCCAUUUAGAGGAAGGAGAAGUCGUAACA
rnacentral:rRNA from 1 species